rnacentral:rRNA from 1 species
GGCACAGGCAUGCCUCAGUAGCGGCGAGUGAAGCGGCAAGAGCUCAGAUUUGAAAUCGUGCUUUGCGGCACGAGUUGUAGAUUGCAGGUUGGAGUCUGUGUGGAAGGCGGUGUCCAAGUCCCUUGGAACAGGGCGCCCAGGAGGGUGAGAGCCCCGUGGGAUGCCGGCGGAAGCAGUGAGGCCCUUCUGACGAGUCGAGUUGUUUGGGAAU